CAGCAGCCGCGGGAACACGAAGGGGGCUAGCGUUGCUCGGAAUUACUGGGCGUAAAGGGAGCGUAGGUGGACAUUUAAGUCAGGGGUGAAAUCCCAGAGCUCAACUCUGGAACUGCCUUUGAUACUGGGUGUCUUGAGUGUGAUAGAGGUAUGUGGAACUCCGAGUGUAGAGGUGAAAUUCGUAGAUAUUCGGAAGAACACCAGUGGCGAAGGCGACAUACUGGAUCAUUACUGACGCUGAGGCUCGAAAGCGUGGGGAGCAAACAGGAUUAGAUACCCCAGUAGUCCCUGUCUCUUAUAC
rnacentral:rRNA from 1 species